UCAUAUAAACCCUAAUAAAUUAUAAACAUUCGAAUGUAAAAUUUCGCACGAUAGAUAAUGACAAACAAACGACGGAAAUUACAUAAUAAAUCCACAGCGUGUAUCUUAAUAUAUUUGUCAGUACAUGGAUAACCAGAAUAAUCCAGUCGUUAUAUUACGAUUACUUCGAUCACUCCAUUAACCAUUUCAUCGAGAAAAGUAGUGGAUAGGGGCUCUGAAUUAUUCGAGUUAGUACAUGGAGGAAAGAUAUUCAAAGAUUAGGAGCGACGAUUCAAUUUCCAUUUGUGUAUUGUAUUUGUCGUGGUUGAAACGGCACCAGGAACAUAUCAGGAUAGACAACAAAAGUCUAGUGAGAAAAAUGUUAAGAAACACCAGCAAAAAAGAUUAGAUUGUUAUUCAGUCCUGACUUAUACAGUGUUUCUGAAGAUGGAGAUUAGAUCAGGCCUAUCCAGAAGCAAGAAAAAAGAACAAUUCAUAGCACGUACAUCUACAGAGAAAGACAUGUUUAAAAAAACAGAUUUAUUUUCAAUUUUAGAAAAACCUGUUGAACUUUUACUAUUUCUUAUCUGUUUAUUUUACAUUUAUAUGUUGAUAUUUUUUUUUUUAUUGCUGCACAGUUUUUCUAUUCAGUCCCAUAUAACAAAAAUAGUCAGAUCGCAAC